AUUUGUCUGGCGAAAAUGCUGUCUAAUUGUGGCCACUGCCCACCUCUUCUCAACUCCACGUUUAAUGACAUCAUGCAUUUUAAAACACUGUUGCGAGAAGGGAUCCCGAGGCUCAGCUAGACUUGCCAAAGGAGUUCAUGAAACAACAAAAAGGUUAAGACCACCAGACAUCCAACUCAACCAGACAAACUUGCUCAGACCAGCCAGGCAGUAUAAGUCUCCCACAGAACAGGAGCAGAAGCAGAAAAUGAAUGAUGUUUCUGUAUGCCCCCAAUCCUGCUAGUGCGACUUCUCCAAGACCGCCAUUUUCCUCAGAUUCCCUUUGCCCUGCCAAGCCUGUUCUACCCUUUGCCCUGCCAAGCCUUGUUCUACCCUUUGCCCUUAAAACCAGAGCGCCUAUUGUUCCUAAUUUGAAUGCAGUGGGUACUCUUUUACACCCUCUGUCAGCCUCCUGUCCUUUGUUUAAGGAGUCCUGCAUUUAUUAAACACAUCUAUUACAAAACGUAUCAUUUAAGCCAAAGAUUUAACGGAGAAAUAUGAAGAUAUUUCUCUGAAAUGACUAAAACAAACGUAGGUCAAUAUUAUGACUUGUUAAGAAAUCAAUCAUACAAAGAGGAAAGGAGAGAAAGAAGAAGUCCCGUGUGGAAGAGAUAGGAGGGUGCUGCACAGAAAAAGAAAAUGAGACAGAAGCAUCGUCAAGAGAAAGAAAACCAGAUAUGCAUAGAGCCAGAGACCGGAAGAGAGGCCAGAUGUUGAAAGACGGAGCCUGACAAAGUGAACCGCCUCUUCCCAGGCAGAGCCUCCAAAGACAAGACCUGGUCUGACCAGAAAGGACCAGGCAGGAAAAUGGGUGCAUUCCACACCAAGUCCAGGCUGUAUCUUUACAACCUGCACAGAGAGCACACUAGAAGCACCCAAAGAGUGACAACAGGCACGAACACCUAAACACCUACACCCCAGGGCCGAUAUCUCCAUCUGUGGUCCUGGAGAUACUGGGAUGUUACCCAUUUUCACAACUCCAGGCAUAAAUGAAGAAAAGACCAUUUGUCAUUUGCCAUUUAAGCAAAAUGAACUUGAAGCCAGGUCAAAACUCCCCCAUGUCUGGUAACCUCUGGGGAAGGCAUUACCGCCUUUUUGUAGAAAAGACACAUUGGGAGGAGGUAGCUGGCAUAGUUCUCUUCCAUUUAUUGUUUCUUAAAAGACACUAAAGUUGCAUGGUCUUAUGGCAACCCAGAGUUCCAUGUAGCGCAAAAAAAAAAAAAAAAGGAUUUAUUAAAUGAGUGACUAUUUGUAAACUUUU